GCUUGCAAUACAUGAUGUGAUCACCUGGGAUGUAUUAGAGAGCUCAAAAAGUAUUUGAGGUGAAUUCUAGCCUGCCUGACUUCUCUUAGGGAGAAGCUAAAUAGAUAUAUCCCAGCUUUCAGAUAUUUAAGCUACUCUGCUUCAUGGAGAUUACUUAAAUCAAAUAAUUAAUUGUUAAGAGAAAAGCUACUUUCCUUACUAAUCAAACUUCAUCCUAAAGAUGCAUCUUAAUGAAUGGGCUAAGUCAACUCGUUGUUCUAGUUACCAGUCAUGGAAUAUUCUUUCUGCUGUGAUACACAUAGAAAGAAGGUUCAUGUUGGACUGUUCUGUAAAAUCUUUCCAUGAAAUGCUAGAACUUUAGUGUUUGCUCCAGGAAAAGAAUGUGCUAAGCAUGAUGUUCAGUCAAAAAAACGUGCAUUUUAUUCUGAGGUGAAAUGGCAGGGAGGAGGUAAGAAGGAUUUUUAUUUUUUGUUCCAGAACCCAUGCUCUCUGUGGGGGUGGCUCAGAUGACACUGAAUUAACUUGGAGACUUAAAUGUGAAAAGUAUUUAAAUAAUUUUCAUUGAUGGCAACUAAUCAAAUUAGCUUUAAGAAAUGGACUUCUCUGAACGGCCCUUUGACUUAUUUUUCAAAGACAUCCAUAUCCAGCUAUCCAUUCUACAAUAAUUCUGUAACUUACAUGUACAUAGUGCCC
rnacentral:lncRNA from 1 species